UUCGUCUGGUUGGUCGACCUAAGGGCGUAUUAAUUUCCGUAGCAGUCCCCACAUUUAGAGUAGAAAUAAGACUGCGGCCUAGGUCUAGACUCCGAGCAAAAGGAAAUAUUCUCAUGGGAGAGCUGGAGUGCUCGAGAGUGGUCUAUACUUCGAGCAUCCGUCGUCCGGAGGGGAUCUAGGUACUCUUUACUCGACGUCACGCACAAUCACCUACUUUCGAGUUUUGCGAAAGUAUCUAGGACUGUCAAAACUUCAUUAUCGUCCGGACCGAAACGAAAAGAAGUUUCGUAGAACUCUCUGGUUUUAGACGUUAAAAACCGUGGUACAACAGUAGUUCGUUAUAUAAACGUCCAAACUCCAGAUUAACCUCUUAUACUUAGAACACCUCUAUUACGUUUGGGAGUGUUUAAGGGAACUAAUAAAGUAUCGCGAAACAGGUAACUCUAAGAGAAGUAACUCUUUAACACACCGUACCCUGUUAACGUUACGUACUAUUUUUUAUUCUCGUUUUUAUAUCAUACUAGAUAACCUAUAACACAACUGAGUGUUCCUUUCUGGUUUUAUGUUUUUUUCCGUUUACUAACGAGACGCAACGUACAGAUGGAUCCGCUUAGAUGUACGGAUACAUUGUUUAAGUUCUACGUACCCAGACGUACAUCUCUCGCGAUAGUUUAUUAGUUCCUUAAACGCUCCCAAAUGUAAUAGAAGUGUUCUCUAUAUAACAAGCGAAUCUGGAAUCUGGACGUUUGUAUAAAGAUCUACUGUUAUACUACGAUUUUUAACGCCUAAAAACAAAGAGUACUACGAACCUCCUUUUUGUUUCGGUUCGAUAACGAAGUUUUGUCAAACCUAGAUACAUUAGAUCGGUUGGUUGUUAGAAGCUUUCGAGCUUACGGAAGGAAAGGGGCAAGUAAUUAUUCAACUAUACCUAGAAAUACGUCCCGUAAUCUGAGAAUUCUACCUUUUAGUGCGAUCUCGAUGUGUAUAUCAAAACGAGAAUGUUAGCAUGUUAUCAUAUUAUCCCUUUUCCCCGUAACUACUUUACAGAACGACAGUAUUGUAUACUUACGUUAUCCAAGAACUUUGAACCCCCUCAUCCAACAUCUUUAGUAGUCCUGCUAUAAACUACGGACAUCAUACGUGUCCGACAUCAGUUACCGAGCUGUUUUGUCUUGCGUGUUUAUGAAAAAAAGUCUGAACGUAACCAUCCAGUAACAAACACGUCCAUUCGAGUAAAUACCUGGUACCGUACGAGGUGAUUGGAGAAAAAACAUCUUGGACACAUGUAGUAAGGUACUACGAGGCUCGACCACCUACUCUAGUUCGGAGCAACCAACAGUGUUGGUUGUCUUUUCCCAAGGCCACCCGACGUCGUUUUACGUGGAUUCCUCGUUUGUACUUCUAUGACACCUCUGUCCGGUUCUUCCUUGUCAGGUCCGUUACUUCUCACCGGGGAGACGAGUAUGAGGUACUGUCAAGAAGGGUAAUUGAUUAGCCGGUUCACACCUAUCACCAACUGCCGUGAUCUUUUCAUCGCAGAGCGGGCUAAAACAGUAACGAAGAACCCUGGACUAAAAAUGCCAGGGUAAGAGUUAAAGGCAAUGUCGAUCAGACCUAAUAGAGUGUAUCUCGUUUGGCCUCACUGGAAAUACAGAUCCAAAGACCAAAGCAAUUGUAAACCUAACUACCUGUACAGUAUAUACCUACAUAAAAAGAAUACUGAAUGUCGAAAUUCAUCGACGAUGAGUGUCACUCUCAAAGUAUA
rnacentral:rRNA from 1 species